rfam:Pseudomonas putida CSV86 contig00118, whole genome shotgun sequence.
CUUUAUGGCGGCUGUACGUGUGGGCGCCUUUGGGCGCGCCGGGUUUGCUCAUUGACCGGUCUGCUAACCCACGUACAGUCGCCACCCUU